rnacentral:rRNA from 1 species
GAUGAACGCUGGCGGCGUGCCUAAUACAUGCAAGUCGAGCGAACGGACGAGAAGCUUGCUUCUCUGAUGUUAGCGGCGGACGGGUGAGUAACACGUGGAUAACCUACCUAUAAGACUGGGAUAACUUCGGGAAACCGGAGCUAAUACCGGAUAAUAUUUUGAACCGCUUGGUUCAAAAGUGAAAGACGGUCUUGCUGUCACUUAUAGAUGGAUCCGCGCUGCAUUAGCUAGUUGGUAAGGUAACGGCUUACCAAGGCAACGAUGCAUAGCCGACCUGAGAGGGUGAUCGGCCACACUGGAACUGAGACACGGUCCAGACUCCUACGGGAGGCAGCAGUAGGGAAUCUUCCGCAAUGGUCGAAAGCCUGACGGUGCAACGCCGCGUGAGUGAUGAAGGUCUUCGGAUCGUAAAACUCUGUUAUUAGGGAAGAACAUAUGUGUAAGUAACUGUGCACAUCUUGACGGUACCUAAUCAGAAAGCCACGGCUAACUACGUG